GGCUGAGGAAGGGAACGAUAGAGAAGUUUGCGUGUGUUGGGUUGUCCUUGCCUGGGUUUGCCUCCAGAAGUGGAUUUGGGGGUGAUGGAGUCGGGUGAAUUGUAGAAAAACUGCAUCCUCUCAACCCAAAUUUAUUUAUUCCCUUUUAGUUUGUUAGUCUAGAGCGGCCUCACCUCCUCUCCACUACCAUGGUCAUGUCACUAAGGAGUGUUUGGAGGAAUCUUGAGCUUUGCAUCACUUCUCCCUACGUCCAGACCGUGAGCUUGUUGUGGACAGUAGGCAGCGAUUACAGUGAGGAGAGUAGCGCCUGAAGCGGUCGGCAAAGGAGAAUCGGGCCUCGGACGCACAGCCUCGCCUACCGGCCCCCGGCUCCCGGUCUAGCACGGGCCGCCCGAAGCGGCCUCGCCUUCAGUCGGCUGGCACGGGAGCCUUUUUUUCAUGUCCGUCAGCCAAGGGGUCCUUUCUGGGGAGAUCGCGGAUGGACACGGCAAUUGUGAAGAUGGGACUCGGACCAGCUGGAGCGGAGCCCUCUCGGUAGAAUUAGGAGGGCUCUGGAAUUCGAAAUGAACUUUAAGGACACGUG